CAAAUAACAAAAAUUCGUUCUCUUAAAUUAAUUAAUACAAAUAAUCCUAAAUUAAUUAAUACAAAAAUUAAUGCAGUCUUCUUUCUCUUGAUGAAUUCGUAGUCUGCAAAAUCCUAACACCACCAACCAACGGUCCGACCGGCUGCGGCAUAGACCCUUUAGAGUCCCGAUGCUGAUUUUGAAUUAGAGCAAGUUUGCUAUGGAUCUGAAGACACAAACAUACUCAAAUUUCUUUGACAUCAAACCAAAACAUAAAUUAAAUUCGUUCACAUCAAUUUAAACUAAUUAAUCUGAAAAAAAAUUCAUGAACCCUUGGUUCAUUUUCAUAUCCGAAAAAGAAAACAAUAAUUUUCGAUUCACCAAACUUUCCAACAGUUCCAAUUCAAACAACAUAGAAAAAUCCUAAAUCGACAGAUCCAAUUAUUAAUAUGAGUUUCCUAAUCUGGUGUAGGAAAAAGAUGGCUUGAUGAGCUUUAAAUCGACUAACCCGAACGAUUGUGACGACGAAGUUGACGAUGACAACGAACUAUCGGCGGUGGUUGAGAGGAUCAUGAGCUCAGAUUUGAUGAGCACAUCUUAGUACCUCGGCAUCUUAGUAUCUCGGCAUCAGAUUUGUUCCAGUGAAGACUUUAUCAAAUACUGAGAUUUGGAGAUGAGAGUGAGAUCAGGUGAACGGAUUUGCACAUCAAAUUUACCUCAUCUCCAAAUCAGAUCAAAGAAAGGAGAAAGG
rnacentral:lncRNA from 1 species